UUGAAUGGGACCGGGUGGAAAUGAUGAAGACGAUUUGGUUGCCGUCGCAAGCUGUAAUCCAAGAGACUGUUGAAAUUUGGAGGAGAGGAGGGGACCGGGAUCUAAUGGGUGAUGGGCCUGCUGCCGAGUUGCUGGUGGCUUGGAGGUGUAUGCUGAGGGACUUUGAAGGGCUAACAGUGACUCCAACCGGACCUGGGACUUGUACCGCUUGUUUUGUGAUCUCCUGCCGCUUGUUGUUUAUAUAUAUAUUUUAUUUAUAUUGUUAGUGUGUUUUGGUUGGUCACCUUUAUGUUUGGACCUAUGGUGUGGUGCACGAUGUUAUUAAUUUUGGUUUUU
rnacentral:lncRNA from 1 species